rnacentral:lncRNA from 1 species
UGGCCUAGAAAUGGCGGGGGCUUGGCUUGCCUGAGGACAUAAACUGUUGAUAUCCGAAGAGUCGCGUACCCUAAGAAAGAAAUUCCAUCAACCAUCGAAGUCAGUUCGGCUGGAUCGAUAGAAUAAGGAUAGCUAUUACCUAACUUGCUUGCAUUCCUCGCUUUCAGAUGAGGCGACCGACGGAAGGAAAGUUCAUCAAAUCCAUAACCCUAAACGAAGAAAACCAACGGAGAAAGAGAAAGAAAGCAAUACCGAAAUCAGAACUUGUUCGCAUAUUGUAUUCCGCUCGCGAAACUGGUGUUAUUUAAGGUUGGCUAACAGCUUUCCGGGCAUACUAAUAGAAAGGGAUAAUAUAUAAGGGAAGGAAUAGAAAGGGAUAAUAUAUAAGGGAAGGCUAUCUCUGGAGGAAAUCAAAUAAUAAGGAAGCUACCAGACCAGACCCCAGGUAAAGAUAAGGUACAAUGCUCGAUGAACGAUCUAACAAGAGAGCAUAUGAAAGGAAAGAUCAUUCGUCCGGGGAAUAUAAAUAGAAGGUAGCUGUAAGGGAAUAAGCGAUGGAUAAAGCAUUGAUGAGGGAAUAAGCGAUGGAUAAAGCAUUGAUGAGCAAUCCAAUCUAGGCGGAAGAGAAUCAACCUGUCUGUUACCUUCUAUCGGUAUUUAUGAAGACGCCUAUUCUUGACAAAAAGGGAAAGUCCGGAACACAAACACUGGUUACAAGAUCGAAAUCCAAAAUAGUUCCCUGGUUCCGGGCACAGCAACGAUUAGGGGUAAGUCUAGAGUUCCCUGCUGGCUCUGUAAAGUGUAUAAGGAAGGCAAAGUGUAUCACUGAGAGAGGGGAGCUCCUGAGAUUCUAUGGUAGUCAGGUACCAGUUUGCUGUUACUUAGAAAUAGGAGGAUUAGGGAAUAUAAGGAAGAAAUAGGAGGAUUUGUAUUUGCACAAUGAAUAUAAGGAAGAAAUAGGAGGAUUUGUAUUUGCACAAUGAAUAUAAGGAAUCAAGCCGAUCUUUUUAUUGCGAGAUGAAGCAGAUAUGGCGCGUGGUCCGAGUCAGGGUUACCCUUAUCCUAGUUAAUCUAUGGUAUGUGAUAGCUAACUGUUUAGGGCGGACUUCCCCCAAGGUUGACGGCGAGAAGUCGACGACACUAAAC